AUUGAACGCUGGCGGCAUGCCUUACACAUGCAAGUCGAGCGGCAGCGCGGGGGCAACCCUGGCGGCGAGCGGCGAACGGGUGAGUAAUACAUCGGAACGUGUCCAGUAGUGGGGGAUAACCAGUCGAAAGACUGGCUAACACCGCAUACGAUCUACGGAUGAGAGCGGGGGACUCUUGGGAAACUAAGGGCGUCGCCACUUUGGAGCGGCCGAUGUCGGAUUAGCUAGUUGGCGGGGUAAAAGCCCACCAAGGCGACGAUCCGUAGCUGGUCUGAGAGGACGAUCAGCCACACUGGAACUGAGACACGGUCCAGACUCCUACGGGAGGCAGCAGUGGGGAAUUUUGGACAAUGGGGGCAACCCUGAUCCAGCCAUGCCGCGUGAGUGAAGAAGGCCUUCGGGUUGUAAAGCUCUUUCGGCGGGGACGAAAUGGUUCGUGACAACACCACGGACUGAUGACGGUACUCGCAUAAGAAGCACCGGCUAACUCCGUGCCAGCCGCCGCCGUAA
rnacentral:rRNA from 1 species